rnacentral:rRNA from 1 species
UACGAAGGGGGCUAGCGUUGCUCGGAAUCACUGGGCGUAAAGGGCGCGUAGGCGGCCAUUCAAGUCAGAGGUGAAAGCCCAAGGCUCAACCUUGGAACUGCCUUUGAUACUGUUUGGCUUGAGACCGGUAGAAGUAAGUGGAACUGCGAGUGUAGAGGUGAAAUUCGUAGAUAUUCGCAAGAACACCAGUGGCGAAGGCGGCUUACUGGACCGGUUCUGACGCUGAGGCGCGAAAGCGUGGGGAGCAAACAGG